CCUCGCCUGUUUAUCAAAAACAUUUUCUUUCAAAAAUGAAAGGUAGGCUCUGCUCAGUGAGAAUUUAAAUAGCCGCAGUAUUUUGACUGUGCUAAGGUAGCAUAAUAAUUUGUCCUAUAAUAGAGGGCUGGUAUGAAGGAGUUGACAACACUUAAGCUUUCUUAAAUUUUCGUUUAAAAUUUGAUAUCCUCAUUAAAAAGUGAGGCUUUUUAAAGGGACGAUAAGACCCUAUAAAACUUAACUGAUGGGCUGGGUUAAAAAUUUGGAAAAUAUAUAUACCGAGUUGUUGGUUGAGCUGGGGCGGCAUGUAAGAUUCUUUAUAAAAUAUAACAAAUAUUUUUGAGUAGUGAGAUCUUUUUUUGGAAGAUUUAGAAUAAGUUACUUUAGGGAUAACAGCAUAAUUUUUUCGUAUAGAUCUUAUAGAAGGAAAAGACUUAUGACCUCGAUGUUGAAUUGAGGGGCUUCAUUUGAGCAGAAACAAAAUUGAAGGGGUCUGUUCGACCUUUAAUUCCUCACGUGAUCUGAGUUCAGACCGGAUA
rnacentral:rRNA from 1 species